GACGAACGCUGGCGGCGUGCUUAACACAUGCAAGUCGAACGGAAAGGCCCUGCUUUUGUGGGGUGCUCGAGUGGCGAACGGGUGAGUAACACGUGAGUAACCUGCCCUUGACUUUGGGAUAACUUCAGGAAACUGGGGCUAAUACCGGUUAGGAGCUCCUGCUGCAUGGUGGGGGUUGGAAAGUUUGGGCGGUUGGGGAUGGACUCGCGGCUUAUCAGCUUGUUGGUGGGGUAGUGGCUUACCAAGGCUUUGCCGGGUAGCCGGCCUGAGAGGGUGACCGGCCACAUUGGGACUGAGAUACGGCCCAGACUCCUACGGGAGGCAGCAGUGGGGAAUAUUGCACAAUGGGCGGAAGCCUGAUGCAGCAACGCCGCGUGCGGGAUGACGGCCUUCGGGUUGUAAACCGCUUUCGCCUGUGACGAAGCGUGAGUGACGGUAAUGGGUAAAGAAGCACCGGCUAACUACGUG
rnacentral:rRNA from 1 species